GCUGGGUUCAAAGGUGUGGUGCUGGGUUCAAAGGUGUGGUGCUGUGUUCAAAGGUGUGGUGCUAGGUUCAAAGGUGUGGUGCAAGAUACAAAGGUGUGGUGCUGUGUUCAAAGGUGUGGUGUGGUGCUGUGUUCAAAGGUGUGGUGCUGUGUUCAAAGGUGUGGUGCUGUGUUCAAAGGUGUGGUGCUGGGUUCAAAGGUGUGGUGCUGUGUUCAAAGGUGUGGUGCUGUGUUCAAAGGUGUGGUGCUGUGUUCAAAGGUGUGGUGCUGUGUUCAAA